AGGCAGCAGUGAGGAAUAUUGGACAAUGGAGGCAACUCUGAUCCAGCCAUGCCGCGUGCAGGAAGACUGCCCUAUGGGUUGUAAACUGCUUUUAUACAGGAAGAAUAAGGCCUACGUGUAGGUUGAUGACGGUACUGUAAGAAUAAGCACCGGCUAACUCCGUGCCAGCAGCCGCGGUAAUACGGAGGGUGCAAGCGUUAUCCGGAAUCAUUGGGUUUAAAGGGUCCGUAGGCGGGUUUAUAAGUCAGUGGUGAAAUGCUGUGGCUCAACCAUAGCACUGCCAUUGAUACUGUAGAUCUUGAAUCGUUGUGAAGUGGUUAGAAUAUGUAGUGUAGCGGUGAAAUGCUUAGAUAUUACAUAGAAUACCGAUUGCGAAGGCAGAUCACUAACAACGUAUUGACGCUGAUGGACGAAAGCGUAGGUAGCGAACGGGAUUAGAUACCCCGGUAGUCUACGCCGUAAACGAUGGAUACUAGUUGUUUGGUUUUCGGACUGAGUGACUAAGCGAAAGUGAUAAGUAUCCCACCUGGGGAGUACGUUCGCAAGAAUGAAACUCAAAGGAAUUGACGGA
rnacentral:rRNA from 1 species